rnacentral:lncRNA from 1 species
ACCGCUGUUUUAACAGGUACAAGCUUUAUAGGAUUCAGGCCAGACUUCAUUUCCUGGGCGUUUGUCUUCCAUGGCUCUGUUGUCCGCGGUCGAGUACAACGUGAGACGAAGCCCUGUUAACCACGUCGUCGCCCCCACUGUGGGAGACUCUCCGCCGUCGAAGAUGCUCCGCCCAUGAGUCCCGCGCUCCAUGUUCCCAGUUUCAUUCGGACAAGACACCC